rnacentral:hammerhead_ribozyme from 1 species
AUCCUGACGAGUCUCAAACGAAACGAAACGUGCGUCCUGGAU